UACGUAGGCAGCGAGCGUUGUUCGGAGUUACUGGGCGUAAAGAGUGCGUAGGCGGUUUUCUAAGUUUGGUGUGAAAUCUCCCGGCUUAACUGGGAGGGUGCGCCGAAGACUGGAAGGCUAGAGUAUGGGAGAGGUAAGCGGAAUUCCUGGUGUAGCGGUGAAAUGCGUAGAUAUCAGGAGGAACACCUGCGGUGUAGACGGCUUACUGGACCAUAACUGACGCUGAGGCUCGAAAGCGUGGGGAGCAAACAGG
rnacentral:rRNA from 1 species